rnacentral:rRNA from 1 species
UACGUAGGGUGCUAGCGUUGUCCGGAUUUAUUGGGCGUAAAGAGCGUGUAGGCGGCUUGGUAGGUCCGUUGUGAAAACUCGGGGCUUAACCCCGAGCCUGCAGUGGAUACGGGCAGACUAGAGUUCGGUAGGGGAGACUGGAAUUCCUGGUGUAGCGGUGAAAUGCGCAGAUAUCAGGAGGAACACCGGUGGCGAAGGCGGGUCUCUGGGCCGAUACUGACGCUGAGGAGCGAAAGCGUGGGGAGCGAACAGG